GACGAACGCUGGCGGCGUGCUUAACACAUGCAAGUCGAACGGUAAGGCCCCAGCUUGCUGGGGUACACGAGUGGCGAACGGGUGAGUAACACGUGGGUGACCUGCCCUGCACUUCGGGAUAAGCCUUGGAAACUGGGUCUAAUACCGGAUAGGACCGCACCGUGAGGGUGUGGUGGAAAGUUUUUCGGUGUGGGAUGGGCCCGCGGCCUAUCAGCUUGUUGGUGGGGUAAUGGCCUACCAAGGCGGCGACGGGUAGCCGGCCUGAGAGGGUGGACGGCCACAUUGGGACUGAGACACGGCCCAGACUCCUACGGGAGGCAGCAGUGGGGAAUAUUGCACAAUGGGCGGAAGCCUGAUGCAGCGACGCCGCGUGGGGGAUGACGGCCUUCGGGUUGUAAACUCCUUUCACCAUCGACGAAGGUUUUCUGACGGUAGAUGGAGAAGAAGCACCGGCUAACUACGUG
rnacentral:rRNA from 1 species